UACGAAGGGGGCUAGCGUUGCUCGGAAUUACUGGGCGUAAAGGGCUCGUAGGCGGCCAACUAAGUCAUACGUGAAAUCCCUCAGCUUAACUGGGGAACUGCGUGUGAUACUGGAUGGCUUGGAUUUGGGAGAGGAUGCGGAAUUCCAGGUGUAGCGGUGAAAUGCGUAGAUAUCUGGAGGAACACCGGUGGCGAAGGCGGCAUCCUGGACCAAUAUUGACGCUGAGGAGCGAAAGCCAGGGGAGCAAACGGG
rnacentral:rRNA from 1 species